rnacentral:rRNA from 1 species
GGACUACUGGGGUUUCUAAUCCUGUUUGCUCCCCACGCUGUCGCGCCUCAGCGUCAGCAACGGCCCAGCGGACCGCCUUCGCCACUGAUGUUCUUCCCGAUCUCUACGCAUUCCACCGCUACACCGGGAAUUCCAUCCGCCUCUACCGUGCUCAAGCCUGACAGUCUAGAAGGCAGCCCUGCGGUUAAGCCGCAGGAUUUCACCCCCUACUUAUCAGGCCGCCUACGCGCCCUUUACGCCCAGUGAUUCCGGACAACGCUCGCACCCUCUGUAUUACCGCGGCGGCUGGCAC